rnacentral:rRNA from 1 species
CACGUAGGGGGCGAGCGUUGUCCGGAUUUAUUGGGCGUAAAGAGCUCGUAGGCGGCUCAGUAAGUCGGGUGUGAAAACUCCAGGCUCAACCUGGAGACGCCACCUGAUACUGCUGUGGCUUGAGGCAGGUAGGGGAGAUCGGAAUUCCUGGUGUAGCGGUGAAAUGCGCAGAUAUCAGGAGGAACACCGGUGGCGAAGGCGGAUCUCUGGGCCGAUACUGACGCUGAGGAGCGAAAGCGUGGGGAGCGAACAGG